GAUGAAGAACGUAAGCGAAAUGCGAUAAGUAAUGUGAAUUGCAGAAUUCCGUGAAUCAUCGAAUCUUUGAACGCACAUUGCGCCCCCUGGUAUUCCGGGGGGCAUGCCUGUCCGAGCGUCAUUGCAACCCUCAAGCGCGGCUUGUGUGUUGGGCUUCGUCCCCCCGUGGACGUGCCCGAAAGGCAGUGGCGGCGUCCCGAAUGGUGCCCGAGCGUAUGGGAACUCUCUUCCGCUCGAACCGGCCCAUUCGGCGCUGGUCGAACCCCAAUUUUUUUUUACCGGUUGACCUCGGAUCAGGUAGGGAUACCCGCUGAACUUAAGCAUAUCAAUAAGCGGAGGA
rnacentral:misc_RNA from 1 species